rnacentral:rRNA from 1 species
GAUGAACGCUGGCGGCGUGCCUAAUACAUGCAAGUCGAGCGAACAGACGAGGAGCUUGCUCCUCUGACGUUUGCGGCGGACGUGUGAGUAACACGUGUAUAACCUACCUAUAAGACUGGUAUAACUUCGGGAAACCGGCUCUAAUACCGUAUAAUAUAUUGAACCGCAUGGUUCAAUAGUGAAAGGCGUUUUUGCUGUCACUUAUAGAUGGAUCCUCGCCGCAUUAGCUAGUUGGUAAGGUAACGGCUUACCAAGGCGACGAUGCGUAGCCGACCUGAGAGGGUGAUAGGCCACACUGGAACUGAGACACGGUCAAGACUCCUACGGGAGGCAGCAGUAGGGAAUCUUCCGCAAUGGGCGAAAGCGUGACGGAGCAACGCAGCGUGAGUGAUGAAGGUAUUCGGAUCGUAAAACUCUGUUAUUAGGGAAGAACAAAUGUGUAAGUAACUAUGCACGUGUUGACGGUACCGAAUCAGAAAGCCACGGCUAACUACGUG